rnacentral:miRNA from 1 species
ACCAACAAGAAGGAAGGCUGCUCUCCGGACUUUAAAACAAUCUUGUCUUGUUGUCUUAUUUUUGACCCUGAGGAAGGUCCCGAACGGGGACCGAAACGUUGGUCAUAAUUUUUUAAUAUUAUUUGAAUACAUUUUUUGUUUUAAAGUCCGGAGAGCAGCCUUCCUUCUUUUUGGU